rnacentral:rRNA from 1 species
ACGGGGGGGGCGAGCGUUGUUCGGAAUUACUGGGCGUAAAGGGCGCGUAGGCGGCCGGCUCAGUCAGACGUGAAAUCCCUCGGCUCAACCGGGGAACUGCGUCUGAUACUGGCUGGCUCGAAUCCGGGAGAGGGAAGUGGAGUUCCAGGUGUAGCGGUGAAAUGCGUAGAUAUCUGGAGGAACACCGGUGGCGAAGGCGGCUUCCUGGACAAAGACUGACGCUCAGGUGCGAAAGCGUGGGGAGCAAACAG